rnacentral:rRNA from 1 species
AACGAACGCUGGCGGCAGGCCUAACACAUGCAAGUCGAGCGCCCCGCAAGGGGAGCGGCGGACGGGUGAGUAACACGUGGGAAUUUUCCUCAAGGUACGGAACAACUCAGGGAAACUUGGGCUAAUACCGUAUGAUGCAGAGAUGCCAAAGAUUUAUCGCCUUGGGAUAAGCCCGCGUCAGAUUAGGUAGUUGGUGGGGUAAUGGCCUACCAAGCCUGUGAUCUGUAGCUGGUCUGAGAGGACGAUCAGCCACAUUGGGACUGAGACACGGCCCAAACUCCUACGGGAGGCAGCAGUGGGGAAUCUUGCGCAAUGGACGAAAGUCUGACGCAGCCAUGCCGCGUGAAUGAUGAAGGUCUUAGGAUUGUAAAGUUCUUUAGCCUGUGACGAUGAUGACGGUAACAGGAGAAUAAGCCCCGGCUAACUUCGUGCCAGCAGCCGCGGUAAGGAUGAGACGU